UCAGGAUGAACGCUGGCGGCGUGCCUAAUACAUGCAAGUCGAACGAGGUAGCAAGUACCGAGUGGCGAACGGGUGAGUAACACGUAGGUAACCUGCCCUUAAGCUUGGGAUACCCAGAGGAAACUUUGGCUAACACCGGAUAACAACAGAGAAGGCAUCUUCUUUGCUUGAAAGGCCCUUCAAGGGUCACUUAAGGAUGGACCUGCGGCGCAUUAGCUAGUUGGUGAGAUAACAGCCCACCAAGGCGAGGAUGCGUAGCCGAACUGAGAGGUUGAUCGGCCACAUUGGAACUGAGACACGGUCCAAACUCCUACGGGAGGCAGCAGUAAGGAGUUUUCGGCAAUGGGGGAAACCCUGACCGAGCAACGCCGCGUGAGCGAUGACGGUCCUUUGGAAUUGUAAAGCUCUGUUGUAAGCCAUGAAUGACAGCUUGAGGAAAUGCAAGUUGUUUGACGACAGCUUACCAGAAAGCCACGGCUAACUACGUGCCAGCCGCGGC
rnacentral:rRNA from 1 species